rnacentral:rRNA from 1 species
UGAGCGUCCCGUGUGGAAAGUGGCGAACGGGUGAGUAACACGUAGGUAACCUGCCUCGCAGUGGGGGAUAACCAGUGGAAACGCUGGCUAACGCCGCACAGUUCUGCGUAUACGGGAGUAUGUGCGGAUAAAACUGAGGUGCUGCGAGAGGGGCCUGCGACCGAUUAGCUAGUUGGUGAGGUAAAGGCUCACCAAGGCCGAGAUCGGUAGCUGUUCUGAGAGGAAGACCAGCCACACGGGAACUGAGACACGGUCCCGACUCCUACGGGGGGCAGCAGUGAGGAAUAUUGCACAAUGGGGGGAACCCUGAUGCAGCAACGCCGCGUGGAGGAAGAAGGCCUUCGGGUUGUAAACUCCUUUUCUGGGGGAAGAGAAAGGACGGUACCCCAGGAAUAAGUCUCGGCUAACUACGUGCCAGCAGCCGCGGUAAAACGUAGGAGGCGAGCGUUAUCCGGAUUUACUGGGCGUAAAGCGCGUGCAGGCGGCUUUCUAAGUCGGACGUGAAAGCUCCCGGCUCAACUGGGAGAGGUCGUUCGAAACUAGAAGGCUUGAGGGUGGUAGAGGAAAGUGGAAUUCCCGGUGUAGUGGUGAAAUGCGUAGAUAUCGGGAAGGAACACCAGUGGCGAAGGCGGCUCUCUGGGCCACUCCUGACGCUAAGACGCGAAAGCUAGGGGAGAGAACGGGAUUAGAAACCCCGGUAUUCCUAGCCGUAAACGAUGUCAACUAGGUGUAGGGGGUAUCCAACCCCCCUGUGCUGCAGCAAACGCGGUAAGUUGACCGCCUGGGGACUACGGCCGCAAGGCUAAAACUCAAAGGAAUUGACGGGGACCCGCACAAGCAGCGGAGCGUGUGGUUUAAUUCGAGGCUACGCGAAGAACCUUACCAGGGUUUGACAUGACGGUGGUAGGAAAGCGAAAGCUGACCGACCCUUCGGGGAGCCGCCACAGGUGCUGCAUGGCUGUCGUCAGCUCGUGCCGUGAGGUGUUAGGUUAAGUCCUGUAACGAGCGCAACCCUCGUCGUUAGUUAUACGUGUCUAACGAGACUGCCGGUGAUAAGCCGGAGGAAGGUGAGGAUGACGUCAAGUCAGCAUGGCCUUUAUAUCCUGGGCUACACACACGCUACAAUGGCCGGUACAAUGGGUAGCUAAACCGCGAGGUGGAGCCAAUCCUCCAAAGCCGGUCUCAGUUCGGAUUGUAGGCUGCAACUCGCCUGCAUGAAGUCGGAGUGCUAGUACCGCGCGUCA